UGGGGAAUAUUGGACAAUGGGCGCAAGCCUGAUCCAGCCAUGCCGCGUGAGUGAUGAAGGCCCUAGGGUUGUAAAGCUCUUUCACCGGUGAAGAUAAUGACGGUAACCGGAGAAGAAGCCCCGGCUAACUUCGUG
rnacentral:rRNA from 3 species